GACGAACGCUGGCGGCGUGCUUAACACAUGCAAGUCGAACGGUGAAGCCCCUUCGGGGGUGGAUCAGUGGCGAACGGGCGAGUAACACGUGAGCAACCUGCCCCUGACUCUGGGAUAACUUCGGGAAACCGGAGCUAAUACUGGAUAUGACGCUCUCACGCAUGUGGGGGUGUGGAAGGUUUUUCGGUUGGGGAUGGGCUCGCGGCCUAUCAGCUUGUUGGUGGGGUGAUGGCCUACCAAGGCGACGACGGGUAGCCGGCCUGAGAGGGCGACCGGCCACACUGGGACUGAGACACGGCCCAGACUCCUACGGGAGGCAGCAGUGGGGAAUAUUGCGCAAUGGGCGAAAGCCUGACGCAGCGACGCCGCGUGAGGGAUGAAGGCCUUCGGGUUGUAAACCUCUUUCAGCGCCGAAGAAGCGAAAGUGACGGUAGGCGCAGAAGAAGCACCGGCUAACUACGUGCCAGCAGCCGCCGUAACAC
rnacentral:rRNA from 1 species